rnacentral:snRNA from 1 species
GUCUGGCCAGCAGCACAUAUAUUAAAACUGGAAUAAUACAGGGAAGAUUAGCAGAAGGAUGACAUGCAAAUUUGUGAAGCGUUCCAUAUUAAA